GGUGGGAUGGUGUAAUGGUAGCACGUGACGUUGUGGUAUAACGCUCACCCGUUGUAACAUACAAUCCCGUUUCAAUCUGGGUUCGAUUCCCAGUUCCGCCA
rfam:Pseudogymnoascus sp. 24MN13 contig_1107, whole genome shotgun sequence.